UUGUCUCAAAGAUUAAGCCAUGCAUGUCUCAGUACAAGCCGCACUAAGGUGAAACCGCGAAAGGCUCAUUAAAUCAGUUAUGGUUCCUUAGAUCGUACCCACAUUUACUUGGAUAACUGUGGUAAUUCUAGAGCUAAUACAUGCAAACAGAGCUCCGACCGGAGACGGGAGGAGUGCUUUUAUUAGAUCAAAACCAAUCGGCGGCGGUGGCGUUCGCGUCGCCGUUCGCCGCUCAACCUGGUGACUCUGAAUAACUUUACGCUGAUCGCACGGUCUCGCACCGGCGACGCAUCUUUCAAAUGUCUGCCUUAUCAACUGUCGAUGGUAGGUUCUGCGCCUACCAUGGUCGUAACGGGUAACGGGGAAUCAGGGUUCGAUUCCGGAGAGGGAGCCUGAGAAACGGCUACCACAUCCAAGGAAGGCAGCAGGCGCGCAAAUUACCCACUCCCGGCACGGGGAGGUAGUGACGAAAAAUAACGAUACGGGACUCAUCCGAGGCCCCGUAAUCGGAAUGAGUACACUUUAAAUCCUUUAACGAGGACCAAUUGGAGGGCAAGUCUGGUGCCAGCAGCCGCGGUAACUCCAGCUCCAA
rnacentral:rRNA from 1 species